rnacentral:rRNA from 1 species
AGCGAACGCUGGCGGCAGGCCUAACACAUGCCAGUCGAACGAACUCUUCGGAGUUAGUGGCGGACGGGUGAGUAACACGUGGGAACGUGCCUUUUGGUUCGGAAUAACUCAGGGAAACUUGUGCUAAUACCGAAUGUGCCCUUCGGGGGAAAGAUUUAUCGCCAUUAGAGCGGCCCGCGUCUGAUUAGCUAGUUGGUGAGGUAACGGCUCACCAAGGCGACGAUCAGUAGCUGGUCUGAGAGGAUGACCCGCCACACUGGGACUGCGACACGGCCCAGACUCCUACGGGAGGCAGCAGUGGGGAAUCUUGCGCAAUGGGCGAAAGCCUGACGCAGCCAUGCCGCGUGAAUGAUGAAGGUCUUAGGAUUGUAAAAUUCUUUCACCGGGGACGAUAAUGACGGUACCCGGAGAAGAAGCCCCGGCUAACUUCGUG